rnacentral:rRNA from 1 species
CACGUAGGGUGCGAGCGUUGUCCGGAAUUAUUGGGCGUAAAGAGCUCGUAGGCGGUGUGUCGCGUCGGCCGUGAAAACCUGCAGCUUAACUGUGGGCUUGCGGUCGAUACGGGCAUCACUGGAGUUCGGCAGGGGAGACUGGAAUUCCUGGUGUAGCGGUGAAAUGCGCAGAUAUCAGGAGGGAACACCGGUGGGCCGAAGGCGGGUCUCUGGGCCGAUAACUGAC